UUAAUGACAUGUGUGGUAACUUCCACUUCUAUUUCUCCAAGGUUUGGCAUAUGCACUCCUAGCAGGGCUGCCUCCAGUCCAUGGUUUGUAUUCAGCCUUCUAUCCAGUUCUGCUGUAUUUCAUAUUUGGGACAUCCAGACACAUCUCUGUUGGUCCAUUUGCUGUCAUUUCUGUGAUGUUGGGAAGUAUGACAGAGUCACUAGAACCAAAUGGAAAAUAUCUGGAAGUGAUCAUUGGCACCAAUAAAACAUUUGUCAAUGAGACCCGGAGGGAUGCAGCCCGAGUUGAGCUGGUAGCUGCAGUCACCUGCUUAAUGGGUCUGUUCCAGGUUGCCCUUGGCCUGCUGCAGUUUG